GCAUCAUUUGGAUCGUAACGGCCAACUGCCACUUCACGCUGAGGAGACUUGGAGUUUUUCACUGUCCUUUUAUCAAUACAAAGAAGCGUACCCGGAAGGGCAAAUGGACUACAUUUCCCAUGAGGAGGUCACCUCCGCCAUUACUAAUUUACAUUUUAGAAAGAGCCAAUGUGAGUUUAACAGAAGACGAACACGACAUACAAGCAGAAGAUGGUGAUGCAGUACAGCAUGCAGUCAAUACCACUGACAGAGCAUGUGUGUUUGAAGUCUAUCAAAAAUACAUUCUGACAUUGGCUCGCUAGGUCACAAACUAGGAAUACCAUCAGUCCACUCUGCUGGGGAGGUGCUUUUUUUUUUUUUUUUUUUUUUUUUUUUUUUUUUUUUUGUGAAAGUGCUAAUUUAAGUAUUUUAUGAAGAGGUAAGUCUUUAGACGUCGUUUGAAGACUGCCAGUGACUCAGCUGUUCGGACAUCUAGGGGAAGUUCAUUCCACCACCUUGGUGCCAGAACAGAGAAGAGUCUCGAUGCAUGCCUUCCUUGUACCCGGAGAGAUGGUGGGACCAGUCGAGCAGUGCUAGAGGAUCGGAGGGAGCGUGGUGCAGUGCGAGGUGUGAUAAGUGCUUUGAGAUAAGUGGGUGCUGGUCCGUUUUUGGCUUUGUAGGCAAGCAUCAGUGGGGCAGUCGUGGCCUAAUGGUUAGAGGCUCGGACUUGUAACCCGAUGGUGAACCUGAAGGUUCUGGGUUUGAGUCUCAGGUCUUGCAGGGAUUGUAGGUGGGGGAGUGAAUGACCAGCACUCUCUCCCACCCUCAAUACCACGACUGAGGUGAGACCCUUGAGCAAGGCACCGAACCCCCAGCUGCUCCCCGGGCGCCGCAGCAAAA